UUCCUUAAUUGGAGAAAUAAUGCAAUAUUUUUUAAUGCUUAUAAAUUUCUUAGAUUAUUCCAUAUUCAGUGACGAGCUGAAUAUUGAAGAUAGUCAGCCUUUAAACCUCUCAGCCUCCGUAGACCCCAUUGUCUCUUUUAGCAGCCUGUCUCUGUUUCACUCUCACUCUCUCUCUCUCUAUACAAACCCACUUUUCGCUUCUCUCUCUCUCUCUCUCUCUCUCUUCCCAAUGCUGACUCUUGCCAGCAAACCUAUUUAUUCUCCAAAUUCUGCCUCAAACCCAAAUUCACUGCUUCUCCUUCAAGAAUCCGAAUGUCCCUCCAAGAAAACGCCCCCUCCCUCGUUGUCGCGGGCGUCACUGGCGCAGUGGGCCAGGAGUUCCUUUCUGUCAUCUGCGACCAUGACUUCCCUUAUCGCUCUAUCAAAAUGCUUGCCUCCAAACGCUCCGCUGGGAAACAGAUCACUUUCCAGGACAGGAACUACAUGAUCGAGGAACUGACUGCCGAGAGCUUCCAUGGGGUUGACAUUGCGCUGUUCAGUGCUGGAGGGUCUAUUAGAAAGCACUUUGGGCCUGUGGCGAUGGAGAAGGGUGCUAUUAUGGUGGGUAAUAGUUCGGCUUUUAGGAUGAAUGAGGGGAUUCCGCUGGUGAUUCCUGAGGUGAAUUCGGAGGCUAUGGAAGGGAUUAAGGUCGGAAUGGGGAAGAGGGCUUUGAUUGCAAACCUGAAUUGCUCUACUAUUAUUUGUUUAAUGGCUGCCACACCCUUGCAUAGACAUGCCAAAGUGCAACGCAUGGUUGUUAGUACAUAUCAGGCAGCCAGUGGUGCUGUUGCUGCCGCAAUGGAAAAGCUGGAGCUGCAGACUCGUCUUGGCAGAAAAACACCCUUAUGCAAAAUCUUUAAGCGAAAGAAUGACAUGAAUGUUCAAGUUACUGCAACAUGUAUACCAGUUCUUGCAAAGCGAGCGCAUGCCAAAAGUGUGAAUCUUCAAUUUGAGAAGCCCCUUGAUGAGGACACAACAAUGGAUAUUUUGAAGAAUGCCUCGUGGGUGGUGGUUAUUGAUGACUGCAUCCAAUCACUUCCCUGCACCAUCAGAGGAGAAAUUAUUUGGUAUACCUGGUGCACAUGUAUUAUCUUUCACAAUUAUGUGGGACCUACUUUCUAUAUUACAAGAAAGACUCACUUUUCUAUGAGUGAGGGACUACUAUUUUUUAGUGCUCCCAGUGUAUCUAAUAAUUAGCCCCAUUAGAGGUAUCAAACAAAAAAGAUGUUGCAAUUGGUAGAAUCCGCUGAGAUGUGUCUCAAGAAGCGAAUUAGGGGUUGGAUAUCUUUGUCUAUGGAAGUCAAAUAUGCAAGGGGGCUGCACUUAAUGCCAUCCAGAUAGCUGAGUUGCUGCUGGAGUCCACUUAGCUUUAGUGUUAGGUUUUAUAUUAUGUUCAAUCAUUGUGGUGAGAUGAGGUGAUUUUGUAUCGUUAUAUUUCUAUUCUUGAGAUGCAGAUAUUUAUCUUUGCAUUGUGUCGUGCAAAUUUGCCAAAUUUUAUAGUGUGAGUGGGUAUUUGGCUUAGUUUAUGAAAAAUUUAUAAGUAUUUAGUGUUUAUAAGCUAA